UGGGGGUAGCCUUGCUACCUGCCGGCGAGUGGCGAACGGGUGAGUAAUACAUCGGAACGUGCCCUGUAGUGGGGGAUAACUAGUCGAAAGACUAGCUAAUACCGCAUACGACCUGAGGGUGAAAGUGGGGGACCGCAAGGCCUCAUGCUAUAGGAGCGGCCGAUGUCUGAUUAGCUAGUUGGUGGGGUAAAGGCCCACCAAGGCGACGAUCAGUAGCUGGUCUGAGAGGACGAUCAGCCACACUGGGACUGAGACACGGCCCAGACUCCUACGGGAGGCAGCAGUGGGA
rnacentral:rRNA from 1 species